rnacentral:rRNA from 1 species
AGAACGAACGCUGGCGGCAUGCCUAACACAUGCAAGUCGAACGAGACCUUCGGGUCUAGUGGCGCACGGGUGCGUAACGCGUGGGAACCUGCCUUUAGGUUCGGAAUAACUCAGAGAAAUUUGAGCUAAUACCGGAUAAUGUCUUCGGACCAAAGAUUUAUCGCCUUUAGAUGGGCCCGCGUAGGAUUAGCUUGUUGGUGGGGUAAUGGCCUACCAAGGCGACGAUCCUUAGCUGGUCUGAGAGGAUGAUCAGCCACACUGGGACUGAGACACGGCCCAGACUCCUACGGGAGGCAGCAGUGGGGAAUAUUGGACAAUGGGCGAAAGCCUGAUCCAGCAAUGCCGCGUGAGUGAUGAAGGCCUUAGGGUUGUAAAGCUCUUUUACCCGGGAUGAUAAUGACAGUACCGGAGAAUAAGCUCCGGCUAACUCCGCGCCAGCAGCCGC